UACGUAGGGUGCAAGCGUUAAUCGGAAUCACUGGGCGUAAAGCGCACGUAGGCGGAUUGUUAAGUCAGGGGUGAAAUCCUGGAGCUCAACUCCAGAACUGCCUUUGAUACUGGCGAUCUUGAGUCCGGGAGAGGUGAGUGGAACUCCGAGUGUAGAGGUGAAAUUCGUAGAUAUUCGGAAGAACACCAGUGGCGAAGGCGGACUCACUGGCCCGGUACUGACGCUGAUGGUGCGAAAGCGUGGGGAGCAAACAGG
rnacentral:rRNA from 1 species